CCCUUAGAUGUUCGGGGCCGCACGCGCGCUACACUGAAGGAAUCAGCACGUCUUUCUCCUUGUCCGAAAGGACUGGGUAACCCGCUGAACCUCCUUCGUGCUAGGGAUUGGGGCUUGUAAUUCUUCCCCAUGAACGAGGAACUCCCAGUAAGCGCGAGUCAUAAGCUCGCGUUGAUUACGUCCCUGCCCUUUGUACACACCGCCCGUCGCUACUACCGAUUGGAUGGUUUAGUGAGAUCCUCGGAUUGGUCCCGGAGCGGCCUCUGGUCGUGCCGGAGUGCCGAAAAGAAUGUCGAACUUGAUCAUCUAGAGGAAGUAAAAGUCGUAACA
rnacentral:rRNA from 1 species